UAAAUUUAAAAAUAAUAAUAAUCAACUGUUAUUAAAUAUUCUAGUGUUUCUAAAAAUUAAAGUACUUCAUGAUGGAGAUCCAUUGGUCCAAUAUGCAUCCAUCCACCGCCGUCCAGCAUACUAAUUUCUACCUGAAAAUUGUAAAUAGAGAGGGAUGAGUAUAACGAAUUAUACUCAAUGAGGUGCUUGCUACUCCACAUUCAAAUCAAACGUGAAAUUAUGCAUAAAUUCUCUUACCAACAUAACAUGAGAAUUAUCACACCAUGACAAAUGAUAAUUCAAGCAAGCGCUGCAAAUAACGUGAAGGCUAAAUUGUGCCUUAAACUGUAUCAUGAUUUCUCCCAAAGGAGCUCUGAACUGAAGUAAUUAAAUCCAUACAUAACAACGUAUUUGAAAAGAUGUGGACAAACCACUAAUAGCACUGAGCAUCUCACCUUUUGAAGAUGAACGUGGAAAACAAAAUUGCUGAAAACGUGAUUCUUUAUUGAAAUUCCAAAUCCUUAAAAAGCCUUAAUAAUAUGGAGAAAUAUUUUUAAAGAGGAGGAGAGAAUAAAGACUUGCAGAAGAAGAAUGAUGAAUUAAUGACUGAAUGCUUGAGGCUUAGUGCUAUAUUUAUACUAAACCACGGUGUAGGGUAAUCACGUGGGGAGUGGA
rnacentral:lncRNA from 1 species